ACAUAUAUUCGUUCACCAUACCAUCAGAUAUUCAGAUCAAAUGUAGACUGCUCGGCACAUUCUAAAGUCGGCACAUUCUUUAGAAGGCAAAAUCUCAUCUGAAUUGGCAUGUUUAAUGGCAAGCAACAACAUUUCAGCUCUCACCACUAGUAAACAAAUUUCAGUUGUCUUUAGUGAUUUGUCUAGUUAAAACUUGACAGAAGCAAGUGCUAUGCAGUUUAAUCUUCUAUAAUGACAAGAUUUCCCUCAGAAAAUUCACAUGCCUCGAUAGAGAGGGAAAGUUGCUUCUGUAGCUUUUUUACCACAAAGACUUCUGACUCUUCACAUAUGGUUACUACCGUGCCCUUGCGACCAAGCCUGCCCGUACGACCAGCUCGAUGAGCAUAAUGAACCGAGUCAGUAGGUAACCCCAGAUUAACUACAAGAUCACAUUCAGGUAAAUCCAAGCCUCUAGCUGAAAGCUCAUUCGUUAGCAGCACUCUAAUCUCCCCAUUUCUGAACUUCUUUAAGAUUGUUGAUCUCACAAGUUUGCUAAGAUCACCAUGUAAUUCUGCAGCAUUCAUACCACGAGCUUCUAGUUUGAAGACAGCAUCUUUUAGCUGUUUUGUGUGGUUCAUAAAAGCUAUUACACAUUUGGCAUCCAGAGCGUGCACACACCUUCUUAACAUAUCAACUUUGUGCUGUAUCCUAGUAAUAGUGUAAUAAUGCUGCAAAUUAGGGGGUAAGCUCUGAACAUCAGGCAUAGGUUGUACACUUGAGCUUGAAUCAGUAGUAGAAGGUGUUCCCGGUAUAUUAACAGAUCCAGAAGGAGUGACAGACUCGAGUGGAACAACUUUAUUGGCUUGGAUGAGAAGUGGAUCACAACCCCAACUUCUUGCUGCUCUUAUAACUGAAAAAGGCACUGUUGCAGACACCAUAAUAGUCUGACGUGCAGCUCGCUUGACAAGUGGACUAUUUGACUCUCCUCCACGUGCACCAGGUCUUCUCCCCACAUGGUCUAAUAUACGCUUCAUGUCCUCCCUGAAAGUGAAUGCAAGGAGUUGAUCAAUUUCAUCCAAUACCAAGUAACGACAACCAUGGGUAGGAAGCUUUCCAGCUGCACUAAUCUCUGCUAUCCGCCCUGGUGUCCCCACUACAAUGUCGGGCUUGUUCUUCUUCAGAGCAUCCUCCUGUCUAGAUCGGUUUGCACCCCCUACAAGCUGCUGGACUAGUUUCUUAUUCGCUGGUCCUAACAGCUUUUCAACUUCCCUGACAAUCUGCAUGCCAAGUUCCCUCGAAGGAGCUACUAUAACUGCUUCGAUGUCUAUUUUGUUCCCAGUUUCAUAGCCAUCUGGAAGUUCUUCCUUCAACGGACCAACUCGAGACAGUAUGGGAAGGAGAUAAGCUAAUGUUUUUCCUGAACCUGUGUAGGACUGAAUCACAACAUCAUGAUUUUUAAGAACAGUUGGAACUGCAGCAGCUUGAACAUCAGUCGGAAUCGUAAAGCCUUCCGUCUCUAGUCUUUCGACCAACAAAGGUGGAAGGCCAAGUUCUGAAAAUGACUUCGCAGCAAAUGGUGCAGUCAUUAUAUCUACUGGGUUUUUCUCCUUAACCAAUCCUUGUUUAUUGCCACUAACUCUUUUCUUCUCUCUGCUCUUUGUUAAAAUGUGGGAGAGCUGCAAGA
rnacentral:misc_RNA from 1 species